rnacentral:rRNA from 1 species
GACAGAGGAUGCAAGCGUUAUCCGGAAUGAUUGGGCGUAAAGCGUCUGUAGGUGGCUUUCAAGUCCGCCGUCAAAUCCCAGGGCUCAACCCUGGACAGGCGGUGGAAACUACCAAGCUGGAGUACGGUAGGGGCAGAGGGAAUUUCCGGUGGAGCGGUGAAAUGCGUAGAUAUUGGGAAGAACACCUGAGGCGAAGGCGGGUUGCUGGGCCGACACUGACGCUGAGGCGCGAAAGCCAGGGGAGCAAACGGG